rnacentral:tRNA from 1 species
GCUGGGGUAGCUCAGUUGGUUAGAGCACUAGAUUGUGGAUCUAGGGGUCGAGAGUUCAAAUCUCUCCCCCAGUA